rnacentral:sRNA from 1 species
CGACCCGCUUCCUUCCCUUUCUUGUUGGAAGCAACGGCCAUACGGACAGCCGGGUCAACCGCCGA